rnacentral:lncRNA from 1 species
CUCUCGAAUAACUUUAUUCCUAAUCUUAUCUAACCUGGUGAGCCCGCAUAUCCACCUGAGCAUCCUCAUCUCCGCAAACCUUCAUCCUUUGAACAUGAGAGUUCUUCACUGGCCAACACUCCGCCCCAUACAACAUGGCCGGUCUAACCACUGCUCUAUAAAAUUUCCCCUUGAGUUUCUGUGGAACUUUCUUGUCACACAGGACUCCUGAUGCAAGCCUCCACUUUGACCACACCGCUCCUAUACGAUGAGUGACGUCCCCGUCAAUCUAUCCGUCCCCCUGAAUCACCGACCCAAGAUAUCUAACACUGUCCCUCUUGGCGAUGACCUGAGACCCAAUCAUCACGUCCCUGCCUACUUCGCUCGGUUCGGCGCUAAACUUGCACUCCAGGUAUUCUGUCUU